CCUGGACUCGAUUUGUAGACCAGUCUGGCCUUAAAUUCAGAGAUAUCAGCCUGCCUCUGCCUCCUGAGUGCUAGGAU
rnacentral:miRNA from 1 species